rnacentral:pre_miRNA from 1 species
UCACUACUCCAUCUGUCCGAAAAAGUUUAUCUCAAGCUUGUCCCUCAAAUGGAUGUGUCCAGUACUAACUUGGUGCUAGAUACAUUCAUUUGAGAGACAAGCUUUUUCGGACGGAGGGAGUACUAU